UACGGGGGGGGGCAAGCGUUGUUCGGAAUUACUGGGCGUAAAGGGCCAGUAGGCGGCCAACUAAGUCGGAUGUGAAAUCCCCAGGCUUAACCUGGGAACUGCAUCCGAUACUGGAUGGCUUGAAUUCGGGAGAGGGAUGCAGAAUUCCAGGUGUAGCGGUGAAAUGCGUAGAUAUCUGGAGGAAUACCGGUGGCGAAGGCGGCAUCCUGGACCGACAUUGACGCUGAACGGCGAAAGCUAGGGGAGCGAACAGG
rnacentral:rRNA from 1 species